GAGUUGAUGUUUCAGGGUUUAGAGUUUAUUUCAAAAAAAUUAGGGUUUAGGAUUGAUGGUUUAGGGUUUAGGAUUCGUAUUUCCAAAAAAAUAGGGUUUAGGAUUGAUGGUUUAGGGUUUAGGGUUUGAAUUUUGAAAUAGUAUAAUUCAGAAAAAAAUUAAAAAAAUUAAAAAAAUUAUUUUUUAUUUUUUUAUAUUUUUAUUUAUUUAAAUAUUUAUUUAUUAUAUAUAUAAAGAAGAGUCUUUUGCCACUUAGUGAAGAAUGUAUUUUUGAAAAUGUUACUUUAGUGGUGGUAAAAAUGAAAAAUGGUAGCAUGAAAGUGGUAAACAUGUAAUUUCCCCUAGUUAAUAACCAAUAAAAAACUGUCGAGUGUCAUAUUUUAUUUAUCAUAAAAAUAAAAAGUAAAAACAAUAUUAAUUGCUAACAAAAAAAAUUGACAUUAUAAAAUUUGGUAAACCUUAAAUUUUAUAACUCAAAUUCUAAACACUAAACUUUAAAUACUAGUGCUAAUAUUAAGCCUUAUAGCUCCAUAUUCUAAACACUAAACCCUAAACCCUAAGAUUAAUACUAUACUUAAGAUUAUCCCUAAACUCUAGGAUUUAGAUCUUAA
rnacentral:lncRNA from 1 species